rnacentral:rRNA from 1 species
AUUGAACGCUGGCGGCAUGCUUUACACAUGCAAGUCGAACGGCAGCACGGGGGCAACCCUGGUGGCGAGUGGCGAACGGGUGAGUAAUGCAUCGGAACGUAUCUUUAAGUGGGGGAUAACGCAUCGAAAGAUGCGCUAAUACCGCAUAAUCUCUGAGGAGAAAAGCAGGGGAUCGCAAGACCUUGCGCUUUUGGAGCGGCCGAUGUCUGAUUAGCUAGNGGUGGGGUAAAGGCUUACCAAGGCUUCGAUCAGUAGCUGGUCUGAGAGGACGACCAGCCACACUGGGACUGAGACACGGCCCAGACUCCUACGGGAGGCAGCAGUGGGGAAUUUUGGACAAUGGGGGAAACCCUGAUCCAGCCAUGCCGCGUGAGUGAAGAAGGCC